CUUGUUGGCGUGGCCCAGAAUCUUUAGGCCAGUUCUUCCUCCCUGGUGUGACCCCAAAACUGACCCCACCAGAGAUCACCACCCGAAAGGGUAUCUGGAAGAGGCUUGAGCUCACGCUCUUCUGGCCACCUCCUUUUUCCUCCCAGAAACUGUUUCCCGUUUACCAUUUCCUGGUGGUUCUGUUCACCCCUGCCCACCUUCCGGUGACCCUGAGGGCACAGACCUGAGCGACCUGUGUGGCCUGUGCGAGCUCAGAGCACUGUGAGGACCGCCCCUUCCUGUCAGGCUGCUCAGGGACAGAUGGAUUGGUACCUGGUGCUGUCUGCAGAACUCGGUCUUCAGCCCUGCACCCCCACUCCGCUGACUCCGAGGGGUAGCAGGGCAGUCCUGGUGUGAUCCCUGUGCCCCGGCUGCUGGGCCUGACCUGGACUUUGCUGUAUGGGGGCUGCUGCUUGCUUGUUUUCUCACCAGGCCUGCGCCAACACUUGGCCACUCCCCAGGCCUCGAACUGUUCCCCAGUGGGGACUUAACACCACGUUCCAUUAGCUAAGUGACUGUAUGUACACCUCCUACUUCCAGCAUCCGAGGAUGUGGGGGUGAGGAGGAAUGUUUAAAUAAAAUCCAAGGAGGCAGUAGACGAUUCUUUUUGCUUUAAAAAAUCUUUGGACUAAAGCUAUGUUUUAUAUAUAAAUAUAUAAAGUAAAUUGUUAUGUAACUAUUAUUGUUUCCUGUAUGUUCUAAUUUUGUUUUAUGAUGUAAUUAAAGGAAGUGCGCUACGGAGA
rnacentral:lncRNA from 1 species